rnacentral:misc_RNA from 1 species
AAGAUGAGUAUUGGUGUUG